UAACCUGCCCAAGAGACUGGGAUAACACCUGGAAACAGAUGCUAAUACCGGAUAACAACACUAGACGCAUGUCUAGAGUUUAAAAGAUGGUUCUGCUAUCACUCUUGGAUGGACCUGCGGUGCAUUAGCUAGUUAGUAAGGUAACGGCUUACCAAGGCAAUGAUGCAUAGCCGAGUUGAGAGACUGAUCGGCCACAUUGGGACUGAGACACGGCCCAAACUCCUACGGAAGGCAGCAG
rnacentral:rRNA from 1 species